rnacentral:tRNA from 1 species
CGCGGGGUGGAGCAGUUCGGUAGCUCGUGGGGCUCAUAACCCGAAGGUCGGAGGUUCAAAUCCUGUCCCCGCAACCA